rnacentral:rRNA from 1 species
GACAGCAGCCGCCGCGGUAAUGCGUAGGGUGCAAGCGUUAAUCGGAAUUACUGGGCGUAAAGGGCUCGCAGGCGGUUUCUUAAGUCUGAUGUGAAAGCCCCCGGCUCAACCGGGGAGGGUCAUUGGAAACUGGGAAGCUUGAGUGCAGAAGAGGAGAGUGGAAUUCCACGUGUAGCGGUGAAAUGCGUAGAGAUGUGGAGGAACACCAGUGGCGAAGGCGACUCUCUGGUCUGUAACUGACGCUGAGGAGCGAAAGCGUGGGGAGCGAACAGGAUUAGAUACCCCAGUAGUCCCUGUCUCUUAUAC